rnacentral:ncRNA from 20 species
UUCUUAUCCAGAGCGGCGGAGGGACUGGCCCUAUGAAGCCCGGCAACCACUAAGGUGUUUUAUUACUUUAAACGGUGCUAAUUCCAGCAGGUUAAACCUGGUAGAUAAGAU